AUGGACCAUGUCACGCCGUCAGGUGGAACAGUUCAGAAUGCCAUUGCAUCAUCCAAGCUCUUCCCUGGAACGAAUGUAAGGUUCACUUCAGGUCUCUUGAGCCUCAUUUACUGCACUAGCAAUGGACUUGGCAUAGUUCCCAGAGCUCAGUUGGGGCUUGGAAAACCCUGGAGCUGGCAGGAGUCUGGAGGCCCACAGGAACCCUAGCUGGGUGUCUCUUACAGAGCUCACACCGGGCGCCAGCUCCAGGUCUGUAUGGUGUGGGGCAAGGCUCGUCUCCUCUUAUCCAAGGCAACAUGCCUGCCGAUGCCAAUGCUACCAGGAUACGUGAUUCUCUCAUCCUUCUUUCUGUCUCUAUUUUAAACCUCCCUUUGAUGGUUAACUUAUAAAGCAAACAGAAUCUGAUUUUUUUUUUCUUUUGCAUGAAAGAGAUCUUGAGCUCUCCCUGGAUAAGGCAGGAGUGUGCAGCUUGCACUUCGUCACAAACCUCCGUGGCUGCCCUCUCCUGGACUGAGUGCCACCUGAUACCGAGUCAUUCAAUUUGCUUUUCUUCUUUAGACCAACCCGCCUCUCCAGCCUCAUCUUCAACAUAAACUCUCUUUCUGCCUAAAGAUAACGUGCCUCUUGGAAUGUCCUUUCACCCAAUUCCUCCCCACCUCAAGUUCUCCAUUCCCCAGCAAAGCCACGGUCUCCAUCUAAACCUGUGAGAAAAAGAAUUCCCUCACACUUACUGAGUAUUUGACCUGCUCUUUAGUCUGGGUUCCACCUGUCCAGAGCUUACA
rnacentral:lncRNA from 1 species